AAUUCAUUUGAAGUGGGCGGAAUAAGACAAGUAGCGGUGAAAUGCAUAGAUAUGUCUUAGAACUCCGAUUGCGAAGGCAGCUCACUAAGCUGGUAUUGACGCUGAUGCACGAAAGCGUGGGGAUCGAACAGGAUUAGAUACCCUGGUAGUCCACGCCCUAAACGAUGAUAACUCGAUGUUGGCGAUAGACAGCCAGCCUCCCAGCGAAAGCGUUAAGUUAUCCACCUGGGGAGUACGCCCGCAAGGGUGAAACUCAAAGGAAUUGACGGGGGCCCGCACAAGCGGAGGAGCAUGUGGUUUAAUUCGAUGAUACGCGAGGAACCUUACCCGGGCUUGAAAGUUAGUGAAGGAUGCAGAGACGCAUCCGUCCUUCGGGACACGAAACUAGGUGCUGCAUGGCUGUCGUCAGCUCGUACCGUGAGGUGUUGGGUUAAGUCCCGCAACGAGCGCAACCCCUAUGUUUAGUUGCCAGCAUUUAAGGUGGGGACUCUAAACAGACUGCCUGUGCAAACAGUGAGGAAGGUGGGGACGACGUCAAGUCAUCAUGGCCCUUACGUCCGGGGCUACACACGUGCUACAAUGGAUGGUACAGCGGGCAGCUACAUAGCAAUAUGAUGCUAAUCUCUAAAAGCCAUUCACAGUUCGGAUUGGGGUCUGCAACUCGACCCCAUGAAGUUGGAUUCGCUAGUAAUCGCGUAUCAGCAAUGACGCGGUGAAUACGUUCCCGGGCCUUGUACACACCGCCCGUCAAGCCAUGAAAGUUGGGGGUACCUAAAGCAUGUUACCGCGAGGAGCGUGUCAGGGUAAAACCGAUAAUUGGGGCUAAGUCGUAACAAGGUAACCA
rnacentral:rRNA from 1 species